GACAGAGGGUGCAAGCGUUGUUCGGAAUUACUGGGCGUAAAGAGCGUGUAGGCGGCCAUACAGGUCCGUUGUGAAAACUCGAGGCUUAACCUCGAGACGUCGAUGGAAACCGUAUGGCUAGAGUCCGGAAGAGGAGAGUGGAAUUCCUGGUGUAGCGGUGAAAUGCGCAGAUAUCAGGAAGAACACCCGUGGCGAAGGCGGCUCUCUGGGACGGUACUGACGCUGAGACGCGAAAGCGUGGGGAGCGAACAGG
rnacentral:rRNA from 1 species